GCUGAAGGUGCUUGGAGACAUUGCAAAAGCUUCGUCCCACCUGGAAGAUCAAUUUGAAAUGGAUCCUGUGGCAUGGCAGGUGCUGUCCAGAGAGCUUGACAGUGGAGGAAACAGCGAAAGAAUGGCGACUGUGGUACCAUUGAUCAAGCCAGCGUGUCUGUUCUUGGUAGAGCGGCUAAUAAGGCCACCGGUGCAGUGAGAACGUAAACCCCAGAGGUAAGUGCGUAGUGUGGCCUUGCAGGAACCUCUUUACAAGCAUGAAUGUGAUUCUUAUUCCAGUACUUAUUUAAUGUGCUGUCCCCUCCCUGAGCCAGUCUGUGAUUUGCCCAGGGGGACAACUAUACUAGGACUUGGUCUUCUCCCUUGCUGUCCAGCAAGACUCCAUGCAAGGGAAUUGAUGACUUCCCUUUCCCCCUACAGACCAGGCAGGGAUAGGAAAGAGUGAGUUAGCCUGCAGAGGAGGGGUUGUUGACCAGCUGACUUCCAGCAUCAAGCUUUUCUAGGUGACAGCUAACAGAAAGCUACAUGUUGGAAAUGCGGGAGACUUUUCCUUCCCUUUUCCUCAUUCCAAUGCAGGAAACUUCUUUGGAGAAUCCAGACGAUGUGUUUGGAGAGCUCCAGCAUGCUGAGCAGGGACUCAGUGCCACAGCAGUACUUGGUGGCCUGCAGGUUUCCCCUCUGCCAGGCCUCGGCAUCUAAAUCCUCUAGGAAUUUCUCAGCAGUCAGACUGCAGCACUUACAUGCCCCGUGUGUGGUUGUUUCCUAACCCGGAAAGAGAGACCAAUGCAGAGAGCAAGAUCUAAUAUGGACCUGAUAACCGACGAUGGGAUUUCAGCAGGAUACUUGAUUCCUCCCCCCCACCCUGAGGAUGCUUUCAGACCCAAGUCUGGUCGCUUUGGGAAUGCGCAGAGUGGCUGGAUCUGGGACUGUACAAAUCUGAAAUGGAAGUUGGCAAGUACUCCAGAGAGAUCAUUGUCUGCCUCAAUACAGGAAACAAAUAGAUUGGCCAGCUGA
rnacentral:lncRNA from 1 species